UAACCUGCCCAAGAGACUGGGAUAACACCUGGAAACAGAUGCUAAUACCGGAUAACAACACUAGACGCAUGUCUAGAGUUUAAAAGAUGGUUCUGCUAUCACUCUUGGAUGGACCUGCGGUGCAUUAGCUAGUUGGUAAGGUAACGGCUUACCAAGGCAAUGAUGCAUAGCCGAGUUGAGAGACUGAUCGGCCACACUGGGACUGAGACACGGCCCAAACUCCUACGGGAGGCAGCAG
rnacentral:rRNA from 1 species